UCUUAAAGCAUUAGUAAAGCUUUUGCCUGCUGCUUCUUUGAGACCUGAACUAGGAUCUCAGUGUAUUACAGACAAGAAAGGGGCUGGAAAUCAGCUAGCCUGGGUCCUCUGCAGAUUGUCCCUUUGGGCUUACUGUAAGCAUUGAUCUGUCUGUGAGACAAAGUGCUCUGCCUUCAUGUAAAUGUCAUUUGAUGUUUUUACCUGCUUAACUCUGACUGCAGCACUCUCUGAGAGGAUGGGGGAGGGUUCUCACCUGCAGGAAAUGAGCAAACUUCCUGGGUCUAAGAAAGGAGACCCUCCAAGCUGCUGAGGAGACUCUGGCCAAACCAGCUACAGAGAAAACUCCAAACCUGUCCCUGAGGUUUCUGCUGUGUUGUUUCUGGAGUCAUGUGUUGAGGUGGGCUCUGCAGUGACACAGCUGUUUUGAAGUCACCCCAGCUCAUUCACAGGCACCAUGUCUGAUCCUGGUGAUGUCUGACCUGUUCCACACAGGAGCAAAGUAUGCUGUCGUCUCUUCAGAUGCAUGGACAGUGAGCAGUUGUGCUGUGUUGUGGUGCCCUCAUGUGGGGCUGUCUCCAGGAGCCCCGAGAAUGGUGGAACUUUGACUUCAUCACUUUCUUUGACUCCCAGAAGUCUGGGUAUGUAGGGUGUUCAUUUUCAUUGAGUUCUAGAAACUUUAAUUUCCUCAUUUUUGCCUUGAUCCAAUGUUCAUUCAGCAGAGAGUUGGUCAGUGUUGAUGAGUUGGUAGGCCUUCUGUUGUUACUGUUGUUGAAAACCAGCUUUAAUUAGUGGUGGUCUGAUAGGAUAGAGGGUGUUACUCCAUUUCUCUUGUGUCUGUUGAGACUUGCUUUGUGACUUAAUAUGUAGACACUGUUUCAGAAGAUUCUGUGAAGUGCUGAGAAGAAGGUGAUUUUGUUUGUGUUUGGUUGAACUGUUCUGUAGGUAUCCGUUAGGUCCAGAUGUUUCAUAACAUCUGUUAGCUCCGUUAUUUCUCUGUAUAGUUUAGAACUGUCCAUUGGUGAGACUACAGUGUUUAAGUCUCCCACUAUUCACAUGCAAGGAUCAUUGUGUGGUUUAAGCUUUAUAGUCAUG
ensembl:lncRNA